UACGUAGGUGGCAAGCGUUGUCCGGAUUUAUUGGGUUUAAAGGGUACGUAGGCGGCUUUGUAAGUCAGUGGUGAAAUAUGGCAGCUUAACUGUCAGGGUGCCAUUGAUACUGCAGAGCUUGAGUACAGAUGAGGUAGGCGGAAUUGACGGUGUAGCGGUGAAAUGCUUAGAUAUCGUCAAGAACACCUAUAGCGAAGGCAGCUUACUAGGCUGUAACUGACGCUGAGGCACGAAAGUGUGGGGAUCAAACAGG
rnacentral:rRNA from 1 species